rnacentral:rRNA from 1 species
GGUCUUGGAAUAAGGGGUGGGUAAGGACGGUGCCAGCCGCCGCGGUAAUACCGGCGCCUCAAGUGGUAGUCGCUUUUAUUGGGCCUAAAACGUCCGUAGCCGGUCUGGUACAUUCGUGGGUAAAUCAACCAGCUCAACUGGUUGAAUUCUGCGAGGACGGCCAGACUUGGGACCGGGAGAGGUGUGGGGUACGCUCAGGGUAGGGGUAAAAUCCUGUCAUCCUGAGCGGACCACCUGUUGCGAAGGCGCCACACUAGAACGGAUCCGACGGUCAGGGACGAAGCCUAGGGGCACGAACCGGAUUAGAUACCCGGGUAGUCCUAGGUGUAAACGCUGUGGACUUGAUGUUGGGGNNGCUCCGAGNGNU